AGCUCGAUGCGAGGAGGCAGAACCAUUUCAGGUUUUUCUCAGAGGUGAUCAAGUUCCGACAUUUACACCAUAUAUUCAAGCACGAAAAUUUCCUCAACGAAGGCGACAUUACAUGGCAUUAAGAUCAAUGGGAGAAUCAUGAGAGCACUUUCCUAGCUUUCACGCUCCAUGAUGGUGUAAGCGGCCAAGACGUCUAUGCGGCUUUCAAUGCCCAUAAUUUUUAGGUCAAUCCUCAUCUCCCACUGCCACCUACGGGAAAACAAUGGUUCCGCGUGGCUGACACAAACCUCGAGUCACCAGAUGAUUUUGUAAGGGAAGGUGUGGCAGGCUUGGCUGACAAAUACAAUAUGGCUCCAUUCUCUUCGAACCUUCUCAAGUCCCUGUAAAGGAAAGCACAUUCCUGAUCUUCUUUG